UCUGGGUUGCUCCCAGCAGUCUCGCCAGAAAAAUACAACUGACGACAGGGGUUGCGCUCGUUGCGGGACUUAACCCAACACCUCACGACACGAGCUGACGACAGCCAUGCAGCACCUGUGUCCAGGUUCUCUUUCGAGCACUCCCCGAUCUCUCAAGGAUUCCGUACAUGUCAAGGGUAGGUAAGGUUUUUCGCGUUGCAUCGAAUUAAUCCACAUCAUCCACCGCUUGUGCGGGUCCCCGUCAAUUCCUUUGAGUUUUAACCUUGCGGCCGUACUCCCCAGGCGGUCGACUUCACGCGUUAGCUUCGUUACUGAGAGUGUCAAACCCCCAACAACCAGUCGACAUCGUUUAGGGCGUGGACUAC
rnacentral:misc_RNA from 1 species